GAUGAAGAACGCAGCGAAAUGCGAUAAGUAAUGCGAAUUGCAGAAUUCAGUGAAUCAUCGAAUCUUUGAACGCACAUUGCGCCCCUUGGUAUCCCGAGGGGCAUGCCUGUUCGAGCGUCAUUUCACCACUCAAGCCUGGCUUGGUGUUGGGCGACGUCCCCUUUGGGGACGCGCCUCGAAACGCUCGGCGGCGUGGCACCGGCUUUAAGCGUAGCAGAAUCUUUCGCUUUGGAAGUCGGGGCCCCGUCUGCCGGAAGACCUACUCGCAAGGUUGACCUCGGAUCAGGCAGGGAUACCCGCUGAACUUAAGCAUAUCAAUAAGCGGAGGA
rnacentral:misc_RNA from 1 species